GGUUGUCUUGGAGAUGCCAAAGUGCUAUUUUGAGAUGCUAACCACCCAUGAGAGAAACAUUAGUCCCUUAAUUAUGCUAUUUUUAACAUGUUUCUCACAGUUUCUAUGUGUGUCGGAAGUUCCGACGUGGGGUUGGAAGUGUUGACACUUUUCGGAAGUCUUGGGUAACUUACGACAAGGGGUGCUCAGUGAAUUUUAUUUUUAUAGCGUCGGAAGUUCCGAUAGGCACUUUAACAGCACAAUAACAACUAGUUUUUGGGGGUCGAGUAUUCAUACCCCCUCACCUCCCUCUUGACUUGUUGCUGAUUUAAUCUAAGACAAACACCUCCUUAAGCAUUCAAUACUCCC
rnacentral:lncRNA from 1 species